rnacentral:rRNA from 1 species
CACGUAGGGCGCAAGCGUUGUCCGGAAUUAUUGGGCGUAAAGAGCUCGUAGGCGGUCUGUUGCGUCCGCUGUGAAAACUCGGGGCUUAACCCAGAGCCGCCACUCGAUACUGCUGUGACUAGAGUGCGGUAGGGGAGCGGGGAAUUCCUGGUGUAGCGGUGAAAUGCGCAGAUAUCAGGAGGAACACCAGUGGCGAAGGCGCCGCUCUGGGCCGUGACUGACGCUGAGGAGCGAAAGCGUGGGUAGCAAACAGG